UAUGUUAAUAGGAAGGCAAAACGUGGGAACAUAAAUUGUCAAGCAUGCAAUAAAAUAAUUGAAUUAUUAUUCCCAAUUCCUUCCCUUAUAAAGGUUCUUUGGCAUGUUUUGUACAAAAAAAUUUUCAUGAACAGAGUUUCAUUUGAUUGCUAAUCAAUUCUGAUUUUAUGUUCCUCUGGGUUUUGUACUUUUUAGGGAAAUAGUCUCCUGAGGAUCG
rnacentral:misc_RNA from 1 species